rnacentral:rRNA from 1 species
CGGGAGGCAGCAGCAGGGAAUUUUGCGCAAUGGGCUAACGCCUGACGCAGCGACGCCGCGUGGGGGAAGAAGGCCUUCGGGUUGUAAACUCCUUUUCUGGGGGAAGAGAGCGGACGGUACCCCAGGAAUAAGCCCCGGCUAACUACGUGCCAGCAGCCGCGGUAAUACGUAGGGGGCGAGCGUUGUCCGGAAUUAUUGGGCGUAAAGGGCGCGUAGGCGGCCUAGGAAGUCCUCGGUGAAAUCUCUCGGCUCAACCGAGAGCGGUCCGAGGAAACUCCUAAGCUCGAGGACGGCAGAGGAGGGUGGAAUUCCCGGUGUAGUGGUGAAAUGCGUAGAUAUCGGGAGGAACACCAGUGGCGAAGGCGGCCCUCUGGGCUGUACCUGACGCUGAGGCGCGAAAGCGUGGGGAGCGAACCGGAUUAGAUACCCGGGUAGUCCACGCCCUAAACUAUGGAUGCUGGGUAUAAGGGGUAUCGAACCCCCUUGUGCCGA